GAUAUCAAGUGUAGGUCGUUGUAUGCCAUAUGCGUUGGUUAUCCUCGUAACCAAAUAGUAUUGAGACACUGGUAUGACAUGCAGGUGAGAUGUAGAAGUACAUCAUCAUUGAACGUGACCAACUGUGGAGUACUCUGUUGCUAAGAGUAGCUCACAAAAGAUAUGAGUAUAAGUGUCCCUCCGAUCUGAGAUCACCAUGGUGACUUGCAAGCA
rnacentral:lncRNA from 1 species